GCCCAGGCACUGCAAGCAGAAAUCCCGUGGGAAUGUCCAGCUUUUCAACCAGUGAGGGCCACUGUCAGCCAUGUUUGCCUUUGCCCCUCUUCUGGCCACCGCGGUGUAAAAGGGGACAAAGUUGCCACUCAUGCAUGCUCUGUUCAAGCUCCCUUAUGACCAGCCACAAGCUGUCUGGCUGGCCCCAGGCAAUUUCCAUCCUUUGCAGGGAGGGAAAGCUGCUUCUAAUCUUCAAGUUCACCUCAGGGUUUUCUCCCUGCCCCAUGCCUUCUCCACUGAUUUGGCCAGACCACUCUAUUACAUAACUUUUCAAAGCACUUUUC